AGCUCUACGCAGUGGCAGUAUGUAGCCAAUGAGGUUUAUCCAAGGCGCGAUUAUUGCUAAUUGAAAACUUCCCCAAUACCCC
ensembl:snRNA U4 U4 spliceosomal RNA